UCCCAAUGCAAAGUCUAUGGCCAGCCGCGACCUGACGCGACUUGGCGACCGCCGGCUGCCUGCGACGCGACCUGACGCGACCUAGCGACCGGUCGCCAAGGCGCGUCCCCGAGGUCGCGUCGCCGAGGUCGCAGGACGCCAAGUCGCGUCGCUCCCAAAGUUCAAAUAUUUGAACUUUGGGAGCGACUCCGUGCCGCGACAGCCAAUCAGGGCUCUGCUGACGUCAACAAACCGGCGAAACAAGGAAGAGGAGAAGAAGAAUCACAAUGGAGGAGCAGUUAAUCACAUCCGUUAGCUACCACCCGGUGCUAUACGACGUGGGUUGCGGGCUGUACCGGGACCGCAACGCCAAAGAAGAAGCAUGGGGGAAGGUGGCCCGUGAUGUCGGGCUUUCUGGUAAGCUUGUUUGUUUAUUUAUUU
rnacentral:lncRNA from 1 species